rnacentral:tRNA from 1 species
UCCCUGGCGGUCCAGUGGUUAGGACUCUGUGCUUCCACUGCCCGGGGCCCAGGUUCGAUCCCUGGCUGGGGAG